rnacentral:rRNA from 1 species
AGUGAACGCUGGCGGUAGGCCUAACACAUGCAAGUCGAACGGCAGCACAGUAAGAGCUUGCUCUUACGGGUGGCGAGUGGCGGACGGGUGAGGAAUACAUCGGAAUCUACUUUUUCGUGGGGGAUAACGUAGGGAAACUUACGCUAAUACCGCAUACGACCUACGGGUGAAAGCAGGGGAUCUUCGGACCUUGCGCGAUUGAAUGAGCCGAUGUCGGAUUAGCUAGUUGGCGGGGUAAAGGCCCACCAAGGCGACGAUCCGUAGCUGGUCUGAGAGGAUGAUCAGCCACACUGGAACUGAGAGCCGGUCCAGACUCCUACGGGAGGCAGCAGUGGGGAAUAUUGGACAAUGGGCGAAAGCCUGAUCCAGCCAUACCGCGUGGGUGAAGAAGGCCUUCGGGUUGUAAAGCCCUUUUGUUGGGAAAGAAAAGCAGCAGGUUAAUACCCCGCUGUUCUGACGGUACCCAAAGAAUAAGCACCGGCUAACUUCG